ACACGUGGGUAACCUGCCUUAUAGUGGGGGAUAGCCUUUCGAAAGGAAGAUUAAUACCGCAUAAGAUUGUAGUAUCGCAUGAUAUAGCAAUUAAAGGAGCAAUUCGCUAUAAGAUGGACCCGCGUCGCAUUAGCUAGUUGGUGAGGUAGUGGCUCACCAAGGCGACGAUGCGUAGCCGACCUGAGAGGGUGAUCGGCCACACUUGGGACUGAGACACGGCCCAGACUCCUACGGGAGGCAGCCAUG
rnacentral:rRNA from 1 species